rnacentral:lncRNA from 12 species
UGGAACCAUAGCACAUGAGGAUGAGAAACAGAUGGUGUAUGGUGAAGCACUUAGGAGAUCCAUGGAAAGUCAAACCCAGAAGCCCCAGGGUGAUGUCCUUGAGAAUCUAGCCGGUACACUCUGUAGAACACAGGACUGUCCCAGGAGUUGGGAAGCCCACUCACUGCAGCCCUGUGGGAAGAAGCUCCAAGAUCCAUCAGAUGCUUGAUGAGAAUCUGCUAUGUAAGGAGUCACUGUGUGAGGCGCUUUCAAGGCCGCUGUAGGCAUCAAAUGCUAUUCAGAAAGGUGAGAAAUUCUUGUUGGCAUGGAACACAUCGGAGUCAUGGGGUCCUAUUUGCCACUUAGACUGACGUCUCCAGUGAUCGGAGCCAAGACAAACUAAAUUCUGGCCAUGCUAUUGACAGGUAAGUUGAAUUGGUGAUUAUUCCUUCAUUUAAUAAAUAUUUAGAAGCAUGUACCA